CUUUGUCACAUCGCUGCUGCCUGCAGGAGCCUCGCCAUGCCCGGCUCGGAGAGGGGAGAUGCCCCCGCUGUUGACAUUGUGGACAUAUAUGAAUCUAUACGUGAACGACAGCGUCAUGACAGCGAAAGGUCUACGUGUAGCACCUUAGAGCAGAAUGACAUAGAAGCAGUCCAGGCGCUUGUUUGUAUGAGCUCCUGGGGUCAAAGAUCACAGAAAGGUGACCUAUUAAAGAUAAGGCCACUUACGCCCAUCUCAGAUUCAGGUGACUUCACCAUGCAUGCAGAAGCUGCCUCUGAAUUACCAAAGGAUUAUCACUUUUUGUCUACACUGUGUAUGACCCCACCCCACAGCCCUGAUUUUGUUGAGCCAUCGACUACAAUGCUCCUUUCUUCACAAGUCACUUAUUCCAAACCAAGGACAGUCAUGGCAAAUACAUCUGUUUGCGUAGUCACCUCUACAAACUGUGCGUCUGCCAUAGCCAAACCAUCUGUCAUAAACAUGGAGAGACAGUCCAGUCGGAAGUCAGCAAUAUCUGAGCCACCUGCCCCUCAGGCUUGCAGGGCCAUGGCAACCAGUGUGAUACGUCAUACGGGCGAUAGUUCUGCUUACCCCCACAUUCCUGCUGUGCAAGUUAAAACAAAGGUAACUUCAGGCAAUUGCAGCACUUCCACAGACUGGUGUGAAGCACAAGACCGAAGACAUUCCAGAGUUUCAGAGGACAUGGAUACUGCUGAUGGUUUAAUUAGUGAUACUUCACCAGUACAUCAGCCUUAUUUGCACAACUCCAGUUGUAAUGCUACCAAUAAAGGGCAACAGCCAAUUCGGCCUGUUUCACCGCGGACUUGUUUACCAAAGAACUGUGACAACUACCUACAGAAAAAAGCCACCCAGCUGCUACCUACCCCUGUUUCAAACCCCCAAGUCAUCUGCCAAAUGAUCCCUUUUAACAGGCAAAGACGUAUGAUUUCUGCCUUUAUAAAACCCCCUACACAGACAGUCGCAACUACUGUCCAACCUAUUUUACCCCAAACAGCCCCAGUUUCUCAGCCUGUUCUCAUGGGAUCUUCUGUGCCUCAGGGGACUGUUAUGUUGGUUCUUCCACAGACUGCUGUUGCACAGACACCACAGUGCCAACAAACUGUAAUGACUGUUGGAAACACCAAGUUAUUGCCUCUUGCUCCUGCACCAGUUUUUAUUGCUUCUGGUCAAAGCUGUGCACCUCAAAUGGACUUCUCAAGAAGGAGAAAUUACGUUUGCAACUUCCCAGGCUGUAGGAAAACUUACUUCAAAAGUUCCCACCUCAAAGCCCAUCUUCGUACUCACACUGGAGAAAAACCUUUCAGCUGUAACUGGGAAGGCUGUGACAAAAAGUUUGCCCGCUCAGAUGAACUUUCUCGACACCGAAGAACUCAUACUGGAGAGAAGAAGUUUGCUUGUCCCGUGUGUGACCGUCGUUUCAUGCGCAGUGAUCACUUGACAAAACACGCCCGACGUCAUAUGACUACAAAGAAAAUACCCAGUUGGCAGACACAGGUUGACAAACUGAACAGAAUUGCUACAUCAGAGAAACCUAAAAGUGAUGGUGCAUUGAACAUGCUCAUACCCAUACCAACCUCUGCCUAAGUGGGCUAGUUGGACAAAAAAUCUGCUCUCUGAACUUUCUAAAAGUCAGGAAGAGCUACAAUGGUUAAAACCGAAUUGACGAUGUUUUCUUAAUUUCUGUUCAUAUUUGCCUCUUUAAUAGGGCGGAAAAAAGCAACACCAGGACAGAGUUCCACCCUGAUGGAGACAGGCACACCUGAGGAGUCUGUGUCAGGAAGUCAUCUCAGG